rnacentral:lncRNA from 1 species
GUAUGAAAUAGAUAAAAAUAAUCAUUUUGAUCAUUUUGAAAAAGAUCUUCCCCUUUCUUAUAUAAGAAGUGUUCAAUUUGUAAAUUUUUUUUUAUUGAAGUAGAGAUGAUUCAUAAAAAAAUUUUAUUUUUCUCUUCCUUAUUUUUAAUAUCAGAGCAAUAAAUGUGAAAGGAAUGUUUCUUUCUCUUUUUUUCAUUUUGAUAUCAAAGCAAGGAUGAAAUCAUUUGAACAAAAAUUAAAAGAGAAAAAAUUAGAAUAUUUUAUAAAAUUAAAAAUAAAUAUAUCGAGAUAUUUUGGCAUUCAUGCAAAAAUAAAAUUAUCAAAAAUACCAGAGCACUGAAAAAAAUAGAUAUA